AGUGAAUGCUGGCGGUAGGCCUAACACAUGCAAGUCGAACGGCAGCACAGUAAGAGCUUGCUCUUACGGGUGGCGAGUGGCGGACGGGUGAGGAAUACAUCGGAAUCUACUUUUUCGUGGGGGAUAACGUAGGGAAACUUACGCUAAUACCGCAUACGACCUACGGGUGAAAGCAGGGGAUCUUCGGACCUUGCGCGAUUGAAUGAGCCGAUGUCGGAUUAGCUAGUUGGCGGGGUAAAGGCCCACCAAGGCGACGAUCCGUAGCUGGUCUGAGAGGAUGAUCAGGCACACUGGAACUGAGACACGGUCCAGACUCCUACGGGAGGCAGCAGUGGGGAAUAUUGGACAAUGGGCGCAAGCCUGAUCCAGCCAUACCGCGUGGGUGAAGAAGGCCUUCGGGUUGUAAAGCCCUUUUGUUGGGAAAGAAAAGCAGCAGGUUAAUACCCCGCUGUUCUGACGGUACCCAAAGAAUAAGCACCGGCUAACUUCGUG
rnacentral:rRNA from 1 species